CAAUAGCGUAUAUUAAAGUUGUUGCGGUUAAAAAGCUCGUAGUUGGAUUUCUGCUGAGGACGAUCGGUCCGCCCACUGGGUGAGUAUCUGGCUCGGCCUUGGCAUCUUCUUGGAGAACGUUGCUGCACUUGACUGUGUGGUGCGGUAUCCAGGACUUUUACUUUGAGGAAAUUAGAGUGUUUCAAGCAGGCGCACGCCUUGAAUACAUUAGCAUGGAAUAAUAAGAUAGGACCUUGGUUCUAUUUUGUUGGUUUCUAGAGCUGAGGUAAUGAUUAAUAGGGAUAGUUGGGGGCAUUCGUAUUUCAUUGUCAGAGGUGAAAUUCUUGGAUUUAUGAAAGACGAACUUCUGCGAAAGCAUUUGCCAAGGAUGUUUUCAUUAA
rnacentral:rRNA from 1 species